rnacentral:misc_RNA from 1 species
AAGAGUUUUUACAACUCCCAAACCCCUGUGAACAUACCUUCUGUUGCCUCGGCAGGCCCUGGCCUACCCUGUAGCGCCCCUACACUGUAGGGCUUGCUUUAGGGGGAGCGCUGGGGGCACCUGCCGGCGGCUCGCAAAACUCUGUUUAGCAUUGAAUUCUGAAUAUAUAACUAAAUAAGUUA